rnacentral:rRNA from 1 species
UACGUAGGCAGCAAGCGUUGUUCGGAGUUACUGGGCGUAAAGGGUGUGUAGGCGGUUGGAUAAGUGUGGUGUGAAAUCUCCCGGCUCAACUGGGAGGGUGCGCUACAAACUGUCUGACUCGAGUGUGGGAUGGGUAAGUGGAAUUCCUGGUGUAGCGGUGAAAUGCGUAGAUAUCAGGAGGAACACCGAUGGGGAAGGCAGGUCUCUGGGCCACUACUGACGCUGAGAAGCGAAAGCAUGGGGAGCGAACCGG